rnacentral:rRNA from 1 species
GACGAACGCUGGCGGCGUGCUUAACACAUGCAAGUCGAGCGAUGAAACACCUUCGGGUGUGAAUUAGCGGCGAACGGGUGAGGAACACGUGAGAAAUCUGCCUUCAACUCUGGGAUACAUCCGGGAAACCGGGGCUAAUACCGGAUAUGAGCCCUGAUCGCAUGAUUGGGGCUGGAAAGUUUUUCGGUUGAAGAUGAUCUCGCGGCCUAUCAGCUUGUUGGUGAGGUAAUGGCUCACCAAGGCGACGACGGGUAGCCGGCCUGAGAGGGCGACCGGCCACACUGGGACUGAGACACGGCCCAGACUCCUACGGGAGGCAGCAGUGGGGAAUAUUGGGCAAUGGAGGAAACUCUGACCCAGCGACGCCGCGUGAGGGAUGAAGGCCUUCGGGUUGUAAACCUCUUUCAGUAGGGAAGAAGCGAAAGUGACGGUACCUACAGAAGAAGCACCGGCUAACUAUGUGCCAGCCGCCGCCGUAAAAC